rnacentral:rRNA from 1 species
UACGUAGGGUGCGAGCGUUGUCCGGAAUUACUGGGCGUAAAGAGCUCGUAGGUGGUUUGUCGCGUUGUUCGUGAAAACUCACAGCUUAACUGUGGGCGUGCGGGCGAUACGGGCAGACUGGAGUACUGCAGGGGAGACUGGAAUUCCUGGUGUAGCGGUGGAAUGCGCAGAUAUCAGGAGGAACACCGGUGGCGAAGGCGGGUCUCUGGGCAGUAACUGACACUGAGGAGCGAAAGCGUGGGGAGCGAACAGG